rnacentral:lncRNA from 1 species
CUCUUCUGAAAGGAAGCCCCUUUCCUGGGGGCUUCAGGAUCCCCUCCGCAGAUGUUGCCAAUUUCAUCAUCUCCUCCAGAGCGCAGGUGUAUUUUGUCCCAGCAAUGAGGAAGUGACAACAAAGGACAUUCUUCCGUAUGCUACAACAUGGAUGAACCUUGAGGAUAUUAUCCUAAAGGAAACAAGUCAUUCACAAAAAGACAUAACUAUGACUCCACAUAUAUAAGUUGGACUAACAGUACUUUCCCAUAACUUCCUCUGCCAAUCACUUGGAGCAAAUCAAAGUCCUCAAGACCUAAACCAGAUGAAGCUUUGCCACUUUGCCUGGUGUUCCCUGGCUCAUUCUCUUCAUCAACUUUCUCUAAAGCCUCAUGAGUUGAAAGGUUAUGUGGGAUUGCUAUGUGUGCAGGGUCUGAAGCCAUGGAGGAUGGAUCGACUGGCACCAUGUUCUCUGAUGGUAAAGAAUGCUGCCCACAUUCAAUUAUGACAGGUUUGUGGCACUUCUUGUGAACCAAGAGUUUACAGUUGGUGCACUUAUACACCUGGUGGCCAAGUCCCCCUACUCGGUCUGUGCAGACAGCACAGCGAGCUCGCCUGCUGAAGCGUUUGGCCUGGACAGUGUGGCCAUUCACAUAAUACAG